rnacentral:rRNA from 1 species
CCGGGGGAUAACAGGCUUAUCUCCCCCAAGAGGCCACAUCGACGGGGAGGUUUGGCACCUCGAUGUCGGCUCAUCACAUCCUGGGGCUGUAGUAGGUCCCAAGGGUUGGGCUGUUCGCCCAUUAAAGUGGUACGCGAGCUGGGUUCAGAACGUCGUGGGACAGUUCGGUCCCUAUCCGUCGCAGGCGUAGGAAAUUUGAGAAGACCUGUCCUUAGUACGAGAGGACCGGGAUGGACGUACCUCUGGUGUACCAGUUGUCCUGCCAAGGGCAUGGCUGGGUAGCUAUGUACGGAAUGGAUAAG